rnacentral:rRNA from 1 species
GCAAUCAAUACAACUUUCAACAACGGAUCUCUUGGCUCUCGCAUCGAUGAAGAACGCAGCGAAAUGCGAUACGUAAUGUGAAUUGCAGAAUUCAGUGAAUCAUCGAAUCUUUGAACGCACCUUGCGCCCCUUGGUAUUCCGAGGGGCACACCC